UAGUCAUGGUGCAAGCACUAAUUCAACAGAUCCUUGAAUCAUUCCCAGAAUUGAUAGAAUGUUUCAUUGUCCUUUUGGGAAAAUAUAGAAAUUUUCUUUUACACUG